rnacentral:rRNA from 1 species
UACGUAGGUGGCAAGCGUUACUCGGAAUCACUAGGCGUAAAGCGCAGGUAGGCGGUGCGGCAAGUUGGGAGUGAAAUCUCUGGGCUUAACCCAGAGGCUGCUUCCAAAACUGCUGUGCUUGAGUGUGGGAGAGGCGCGUGGAAUUGCAGGUGUAGCGGUGAAAUGCGUAGAUAUCUGCAGGAACACCCGUGGCGAAAGCGGCGCGCUGGACCACUACUGACGCUGAGGAACGAAAGCUAGGGGAGCAAACAGG